GUAGAUAGGUCUGGUGUGUAAGUGUAGUGAUACAUUGAGCUAACAGAUACUAAUUGCCCGAGAGGCUUAACUAUACAACGCUCAAG
rnacentral:rRNA from 1 species